UCCGGUUGAUCCCGCCGGACCUGACUGCUAUCGGAUUGAUACUAAGCCAUGCGAGUCAUUGUAGCAAUACAAGGCAGACGGCUCAGUAACGCGUAGUCAACCUAACCUAUGGACGGGAAUAACCUCGGGAAACUGAGAAUAAUGCCCGAUGGAACACUAUGCCUGGAAUGGUUUGUGUUCCAAAUGAUUUAUCGCCGUAGGAUGGGACUGCGGCCUAUCAGUUUGUUGGUGAGGUAAUGGCCCACCAAGACUAUUACAGGUACGGGCUCUGAGAGGAGUAGCCCGGAGAUGGGUACUGAGACACGGACCCAGGCCCUAUGGGGCGCAGCAGGCGAGAAAACUUUGCAAUGUGCGAAAGCACGACAAGGUUAAUCCGAGUGGUUUCUGCUAAAGGAACCUUUUGUCGGUCCUAGAAACACCGAUGAAUAAGGGGUGGGCAAGUUCUGGUGUCAGCCGCCGCGGUAAAACCAGCACCUCAAGUGGUCAGGAUGAUUAUUGGGCCUAAAGCAUCCGUAGCCUGCUUUGUUAGUUUUCGGUUAAAUCUGUACGCUCAACGUACAGGCUGCCGGGAAUACUGCAAAGCUAGGGAGUGGGAGAGGUAGACGGUACUCGGUAGGAAGGGGUAAAUCCUUUGAUCUAUUGAUGACCACCUGUGGCGAAGGCGGUCUACCAGAACACGUCCGACGGUGAGGGAUGAAAGCUGGGGGAGCAAACCGGAUUAGAUACCCGGGUAGUCCCAGCCGUAAACCAUGCAAACUCAGUGAUGCAUUGGCUUGUGGCCAAUGCAGUGCUGCAGGGAAGCCGUUAAGUUUGCCGCCUGGGAAGUACGUACGCAAGUAUGAAACUUAAAGGAAUUGGCGGGGGAGCACCACAAGGGGUGAAGCCUGCGGUUCAAUUGGAGUCAACGCCGGGAAU
rnacentral:rRNA from 1 species